GCGCCCAUCGUCUAGCGGUUAGGACAUCGCCCUUUCACGGCGGUAACCGGGGGUCGAUUCCCCGUGGGCGGGCCA
rnacentral:tRNA from 1 species